GUUUAUGGCCAUGCCACCCUGAGCAAGUCCGAUGUCUGAUCUCGGAAGCUAAGCAGGGUCAGGCCUGGUUAGGACUUGGAUGGGAGACCACCUAGAAAGACCAGGUGCCGUAGGCA
rnacentral:rRNA from 1 species